rnacentral:pre_miRNA from 1 species
AUGCUACUCCCUCCGUUCGGAAUUACUCGUCCAAGAAAUGAAUGUAUCUAGAUGUAUUUUAGUUGUAGAUACAUCCAUUUUUGUGACAAGUAAUUCCAAACGGAGGGAGUACAUU